rnacentral:tRNA from 1 species
GGGAGGAUAGCCAAGCCAGGCCAAAGGCGUCGGACUUAAGAUCCGAUCUCGUAGGAGUCCGCGGGUUCAAAUCCUGCUCCUCCCA